UGGGGAAUAUUGGGCAAUGGGGGAAACCCUGACCCAGCAACGCCGCGUGAAGGAAGAAGGCCCUCGGGUUGUAAACUUCUUUUACCAGGGACGAAGGACGUGACGGUACCUGGAGAAAAAGCAACGGCUAACUACGUGCCAGCAGCCGCGGUAAUACGUAGGUUGCAAGCGUUGUCCGGAUUUACUGGGUGUAAAGGGCGUGUAGGCGGAGAUGCAAGUCGGGAGUGAAAUCCAUGGGCUCAACCCAUGAACUGCUUUCGAAACUGUAUCCCUUGAGUAUCGGAGAGGCAAGCGGAAUUCCUAGUGUAGCGGUGAAAUGCGUAGAUAUUAGGAGGAACACCAGUGGCGAAGGCGGCUUGCUGGACGACAACUGACGCUGAGGCGCGAAAGCGUGGGGAGCAAACAGG
rnacentral:rRNA from 1 species